rnacentral:snRNA from 1 species
AUCUUUGCGCAGUGGCAGUAUCGUAGCCUAUGAGGUUUAUCCGAGGCGCGAUUAUUGCUAGUUGAAAACUUUACCCAAUACCCCGCCUGGACGACUUGAAAUAUAGUUGGCUGUGGCAAUUUUUGACGGUCUCUAACGAGA